rnacentral:rRNA from 1 species
AUUGAACGCUGGCGGCAGGCUUAACACAUGCAAGUCGAGCGGGGUGAUGGUGCUUGCACUAUCCUUUAGCGGCGGACGGGUGAGUAAUGCUUAGGAAUCUGCCUAUUAGUGGGGGACAACAUCUCGCAAGGGCUGCUAAUACCGCAUACGUCCUACGGGGGAAAGCAGGGGAUCACUUGUGACUUUCAGCUGACAGAUGAGCCUAGGUCGGAUUAGCUAGUUGGUGGGGUAAAGGCCUACCAAGUCGACGAUCUGUAGCGGGUCUGAGAGGAUGAUCCGGCACACUGGGACUGAGACACGGCCAAGACUUCUACGGGAGGCAGCAGUGGGGAAUCUUGGACAAUGGGCGGAACCCUGAUCCAGCCAUGCCGCGUGUGUGAAGAAGGCCUUAUGGUUGUAAAGCACUUUAAGCGAGGAGGAGGCUCUUUUGGUUAAUACCCAGAAUGAGUGGACGUUACUCGCAGAAUAAGCACCGGCUAACUCUGUGCCAGCCGCCGCCGUAA